UUGGACUUUUGUUCUAAGUACAACAGGAAGCGAUUUCAGCAUUAUAAGGAGAGAAAGGAAAGAAUAUGCAUGAUUCAAAAUGAUCACAUUUUCAUCUGGAUGAAGAUUAAAUUGCAGAGGGGCAAACUUAGAAGAGGAGAGACAAGUUAGAGGUUUUUGUGGUAGUGCAGGUGUUUGACAAUGGUGGUGAGAUUAGCAUGGUAGUACUGGAAAUAGUAAUUAGAUUCUGGAUACACUCUGGGAGUAGGGUCUACAUAUUGAGGGUUUGGAUAUAGAGAACAAGGGGAAGAGAGGAAUCAAGCAUCUCCCCUAGGAUUUUGCCUUGAGCUGCUCGUGAAGUGGAAAUGCAUUUACUGAGAGAAGACUGGGGGAGAACAAUUUAUAAGGGAGGAAAUUAGAAGUUCUACUCCAGAGGCAUGAAUUUUCAGAACCCUUCCUAAUAAUCU
rnacentral:lncRNA from 10 species